rnacentral:rRNA from 1 species
UACGUAGGGUGCGAGCGUUGUCCGGAAUUACUGGGCGUAAAGAGCUCGUAGGUGGUUUGUCGCGUUUGUUCGUGAAAACCGGGGGCUUAACCCUCGGCGUGCGGGCGAUACGGGCAGACUAGAGUGCGGUAGGGGAGAUUGGAAUUCCUGGUGUAGCGGUGGAAUGCGCAGAUAUUAGGAGGAACACCGGUGGCGAAGGCGGGUCUCUGGGCCGAUACUGACGCUGAGGAGCGAAAGCGUGGGGGAGCGAACAGG